UUAUUCUGGUUAUUCUUUAACGAGAAGCAGAAGUGAUAGUGUCAAUAGUGUCGUUUUCGGGUCUCGUGGAAAUUCGUUGGGGAAAAUUUGCUUAAAGAAUAUGUGGUGGUAAUUGCACAAAUAAAUUUCGGUGUUAUAAUAAAAAGAAAUCGCUUCUAUAUCACAACACUUUCGCAACUGGUGCAAUAAAUGUUGCGUAAAGUAAAAUUGGAAAUAAGUCUGUGUAUGUGCGUGCGUACGUGUUUUGUAUUGGCGGAAUAAAAAACACAUUAAAGGAAAGGCUAAAAAGUUAAUGCAAACGCAAAGUGGUAGUGAAAAAGCCUAGUGCAUAAAAAACGCCGACGUUGAAAACGAAGAAGAGUGGAAGAGAACAAGCAGAGAAAAGUUCAGUUUAUUCUGUGUGUUGGCCAAAAGUAAAAUUGCAACAGCAACAGCAACAGCAACGACGACGACGACGACGACGUUAGCAUAAGCAGCAGCGACGGCGGCGACAAGCCCAAAAAGACAGUGUCAAAAUUAUGUGUGCGGCACAAAUGAUUUUUAUUGAGGCCAACGCUAUGAAAUCGAAAUGCUAAAAUAUCAAUCAGUAGUUGUGAAUUAAAAGCAAAUAACAGAUACGAGUACAUAUACUUGAUGUGAAUCAUAAAUGAAAUUCUUUGAUUAGAGUGAUUUUUAUGCGAAGUAUUGUGUUUGAACGACCCAUUUUGCUAUAAGGCUUAUCGCGUAUGGAAUUCAGCGCAUAUUUCACCGAGUUCUCGCAAAACCGCAAUUUGAACAGUUUAACAAGCGUCAAGUGUUUGGUGCAGUCAUUAAGAUUGUUUGUAUAAAAUCGUGUCCGAUUUUUGGCGACCGUAUCUAUUGCUAGAUUUGUGGUAGUCAUUCCUUGUAUAAUAUACCACAUAAUUUGCAAAAUCUGUUAGAAAAUCAGAGCGCUAAUGAGUGUGCAAAAAAAUUAAACUCUCAACAAUUAUAAGCAGCGCUUUACACUUUUUGAAUUAUCGUAAGCCGCUAAAGUGCUAAACACAAUAAAAAAGGUUUUAAUGAAAUAAAUUAUUUUUAAGCUUAAAAGUGUACAUUCAUAUUGGCAUAUUUUAUGUGAAAAGUAGUAAAUUAUCAAAAUUAUAUUUCAGUGAAGUAAUCAAUUUACGACAGUUUGAACGUAAACUGCUUAAUUACGAGUACCCUCAUUAAUAUCAAGUGCAUUUAAUGAAUUUAUUAAAAUAUAAUUAAAACUGUCAAUUGGAUUUCUUGCUUUUAGUGUUUUUAAAGAGCGGUAAAUUUCAAAAAACUGAACAUAUUUCAUAAAGCACGACAGGCUAUUUUCGUUGCUCUCACAGUGAAGAGAGUCAUUGUUAAAAAAGUUCAUUCGUGCAUAAAUCCUCGAUAAUCGCUUAAGUCCUUAAGUAGUAACAAGUUUUCUACAACAAAACGAGCUGCACACUCGUAUUUUUAGCCAGCCAACCAUUCGGCCGUUGCUAAGAUUCGUCGUUAGCAGUGCCAUUUACAGAGAAAAAAACAACAACACAAAUACAACCAUUGUAGCUACAAUAACGGUAAACAAGUGCAAAAGUUUGCAUCUCGUAGUUCGGAACAGUGCGUAUUGUUGUUAUUGUAUACAUGCUAGCUGCUAUCAAGCCUAAUUGAGGAUCCCCAAACUAAAAGUGUUUGAAGAACUUCGAAGGCAUGCAAAUUUGCGCAUCAUUAUCUUCAACUUCAAGAAUUGACAACCAUAUCUAACCGUUAAAGUGAUCCCAGGUACUAGGCAAAUGAAGUUCUAGUAACUAACUUUUGCACAAAAAACGGCAGCACAAAACAUUAUUAGAAAUAUUGAAAGUUGAGCGAAACGCAGCGAGAAGCGCACAAAAUCUCAACAGAAACCCUGCAACAGCACAAACAAUAUCGCCCAGCCUACUUCUGUGUUGGCAUGUUGCUGUAGUUGGCAUCGCUAGCAAACUAAAUGACGCCAAUCGUUACAGCAACAACAACAAUAAUAAUAAAGCAAACAUAUCGAGCCAUUGAAACGGCACUUUCCGCUGGACACGGACACACACAAAUGCGGCCAGAGCCAGAGCGAGGCGACCUAGCACCACUUACAAUAAAUAAAAUAGCAAAAGCGACAACAGCAACAACAACGACGUUACAGCGUUUUUCGCAUUAGUUGCGUAGCGUGAAAGCAAGGCGGGAAGUGCGUGUUUACGCCGCGUGGUCAGUGAGCGACAGGAAGUCCGCCUGUGUGUGUGUGUGUGUGUGUGAGGCUUAGUGUGGAACACGCCCAAGACGCCUAGCAACAGAGAUUUUCGGUCGUGUACGCCAAAACGCGCUAAGCACGCUCGGCAAACGAACGGUACAUACGCACAACAAACGGAAACGGAAACCCAAGUGCUGCAAACGACAGGCGGCAAAAACGUUUGGCAAUUUGCUCCGCCGGACAGGCAGGCAAUCUAUGAGCACCGUUAGUUGGCUUUCUGUCAGCGCCGUGUACAUAUUUGCCAUACCGCUGCACUAAGUGUGUGUGUGUGCGCGCUUAUAUACUUCGUACAUAUGUGCAUGUAUGUUUGCAUCUAUGCGUAAAGGUGUUAUGUAAUCACGCGCCAUUACUGCAGGCGUCAAACAACCAAUAACUGGUGCGCAGCGUCGCAAUAAACAUUUUAUUCAAAACAUAAAAGUCACGGCGUUGCCAAGCGGCAAACGAAAUAAUUUGGUGCGAGCAAAUAAUAUUGCCACACUUUUAUUGCACAGUCAAGAAACACACACACACACAUUGAAGCACGUGUUCACAGCGUUAAAAGACACAGCAGCCAUAGUUUGCGGCCGAACAAGUGCCGGACAAUUAACUUCAACCCCCAGCCAGUGCUUGAGGCGGCGCGACACGUGCAAGCCGCUGCUAAAUAUCCGACAGUGUAAAGAUCUUUUUUCCAGCCGGCCAAAGGAUACAAUAAAAAACCGCCAACCUGGAACUAAUGGAAUUAGAGAAUAUUGUGGCCAAUACGGUCUACUUGAAAGCCAGAGAAGGUGGUUCGGACAGCAACAAAGGCAAGAGCAAGAAAUGGCGCAAAAUACUACAAUUCCCACACAUAUCGCAGUGUAUACACCUCAAAGACAAAUUAGAUAUAAGUUAUGGUUACGUGAUAGACCAACAACCCAUCGGCCGUACUUUGUUUCGGCAAUUUUGUGAAAGCAAACGGCCGAUAUAUUUUCGGUACAUUUCGUUCCUGGAUGAAGUGCAGCGAAUUUCGUUUUUGCUCUCCUCCAAUGCGAAAUUUAGAUACGAUGUGGAGUACGAUGAGAAUCGUAUUGCCAUUGCGGUCGACAUUGGACGACGUUUUCUGGCUAUUGACACGCCAACCGCGCUUAAUAACGGCAUUUGCGAUAUCGGCGAUGUCAUGCGAUCGGCGAAUGAGAAUACAGUUGAUGAUGACGAUGCCAACAACACUAGUUCCACCAUUGAGAACAACACUGCUGCAGAGACUGAAAAUCACAAUAAUACCACCGCCAUUAAUAGCAGCAGCAAUAAUCACAAAAACUACGAGCAUCACAAUGGCGAUGAGCACAACAGCGGCAACAAACAACAACAGAAACAUGUAUUGAGCGAUGGCAGUGCGACACAUGAUGCCGGCGGCUCUGGUGGCGGUGAUAGCGGUGUGGAUGCAGGCGAUACAGUUGGUGGUGGCAGCGGCGAAGGUAGUGGCGGUGGAGGAGGUGGUGAUGACACCGGCGGCGGUGACCUGAACAAGGAUAGCAGCAAUUGCCAUUAUAGCCCGGGUGUGGGCAAAUUGAAUCCCGCUACCGGCGAUGAACUUGUGCUGGACGUGCUCAAUGAUGAUCUUAUUGCGCGAGUGCGUGACAAAAUCACGAGCGGGAAUAAAGAACUCUUCGAACCGUGCGUAACGGCUGUGAAAGCUUUCCUGGCCGGUGAACCGUUUCAAGAGUUCGAGACUUCAAUGUAUUUCCAUCGUUAUUUGCAAUGGAAAUGGCUCGAGGCGCAACCCAUCACCUACAAAACGUUUCGCAUGUAUCGUGUAUUGGGCAAAGGUGGCUUCGGCGAGGUCUGUGCAUGUCAGGUACGUGCAACUGGAAAAAUGUACGCCUGCAAAAAGCUGGAGAAGAAACGCAUAAAAAAGCGCAAGGGUGAAUCGAUGGUGCUCAUAGAGAAACAGAUUUUGCAGAAAAUCAAUUCCCGAUUCGUUGUUAAUUUGGCGUACGCGUACGAGACGAAGGAUGCCCUCUGCCUAGUGCUAACGAUCAUGAAUGGCGGUGACUUGAAAUUCCAUAUCUAUAAUAUGGGUGGCGAUCCGGGCUUCGAAAUGGUGCGAGCACGUUUCUACGCCGCCGAAGUCGUCUGCGGACUGGAACAUCUACACCAGCAGGGUAUUGUAUAUCGAGAUUGUAAACCGGAGAAUAUAUUGCUGGACGAUCACGGGCAUGUGCGAAUAUCAGAUUUAGGUUUAGCCGUCGAAAUACCAGAAGGUGAUUUGGUGCGCGGGCGUGUUGGUACAGUGGGUUACAUGGCUCCGGAAGUGAUCGACAAUGAAAAAUACUCAUUCUCACCGGAUUGGUUCAGUUUCGGUUGUUUGUUAUACGAGAUGAUCGAAGGUCAGGCGCCAUUCCGCAUGCGCAAAGAGAAGGUGAAACGCGAAGAGGUCGAUCGGCGUGUGAAGGAGGACAAUGAAAAGUAUUCUAGCAAAUUUAGUGAUGAGGCUAAAUCAUUAUGUCAGCAGCUGCUCGCUAAAUCCAUAAAAGUACGACUUGGCUGUCGAAAUGGUCGCUACGGUGCACGUGAAGUGAAACUGCAUCCAUUCUUCAACUGCAUUAACUGGAAACGGUUGGAGGCAGGCAUGGUGAAGCCGCCCUUUGUACCAGAUCCGCACGCCGUGUACGCCAAGGACGUGCUCGACAUUGAACAAUUUUCGACGGUGAAGGGUGUCAAUAUCGACGACUCCGAUACGAAUUUCUAUAGCAAAUUCAAUACCGGCUCCGUGUCGAUUUCGUGGCAAAAUGAAAUGAUGGAAACCGAGUGCUUCCGCGAACUGAAUGUAUUCGGCGUCGACGACAGUCCAACGCCCGAUUUGCUGAUCAACGCUGUGCCGGAGCCGGAAAAAGCUGGCUGUUUUCCAUUCAGAAGAAAGAAGAAGCAACCGCUGCGCACACAGCCGAUACCCAUUCCCGAACACUUACUAACCACUAGUCACAGCGUUUCCUCGACGACCGUCGAAAGCUGAUAGCAUAAGUAAAUAAGUAACAAUAAUGAUAAUUGUACGCAGGCGCAUUGAAUUACAAGAAACAGAAAACAAAAACAGAAACAAACAUCAAUGAGUUGGUGCGAAGCGAGCAACAAACACACACACAUACAUACAUACAUGCUGUCUGGUGUUUUCGAUGUUGAACUAUAAUACUACAUAUAAAUUAAUUAAUGUAGCACAUACAUACAUACAUAUAUAAGUAAUCAUACACAUACGCACACACACACACGCACAUACGCAAUGGCGUGUGCAACAAACGACACAAAAACAUUGCUAUAGAUUACGGUGUUAAUUAAGCGAGAAUUUUGUAAGCAGCCGACACAUACAUACUUGUACAAACAAACUAUGCACAAUACACAACAACUAACACACAAAAACACCUUUUUUGCAUUACAUAAGCAUUAGAGAUUUAACAAAUUUUUUGCAAAUGCAUUAAGCAACUAUCUAAUUGUAGUUAUAUAAUAUGUAUUCGGUUUGUAAUCUUUUUGUAUUGUGCAAAAAAUAGCAACAAAAACAAAAAAAAAAAAAACGACAAAAAUAUGCGAAAAAGUUUAUAAAUAACUGUAGUUAUAAUAUUUAAUAAUAUUUAAUGAUAUAUAUACAUAUGUAUGUAUUUACCGUUAGGAGCUAUGGCGUAGCGGUACAUUUGUAACGACUACUCGUACAUAUUACUUUAAUACUGAAUAUGAAACUAGUAAACAACAACAACAAAAAAUACACCCAAAAGACUAUGCCAACAAGUGAAAACAAAAUAUACAUACAUACAUAUACGCGCACAUACAUACACACAUAUGUAUGUAAGGCGCAAAAUAACGCAAAAAAAUAUUAAAAAAUAUUAAAAAAUACACAAAUUAAUGUAAUUAUGAAUUGUUUUGAAACUCAGCUCACAAUGUAACUACCAAACUACAAUACUAAUGUUUUUUGUAAAUGUUUCGUUUUUACAACUUUGACUACAUACAUACAUACAUAUGUGCAUAUAUGUACAUAUGUACAUAUAGAGCAGCCGUUGCAUACUUAAAUAUCACAUGUAAUAUAUACUGCAUCCACACUUACAUACAUACAUACAUAAUAUAAAGGGUGAUUUUUUAAGAGCUUGAUAACUUUUUUUAAAAAAAAAACGCAUAAAAUUUGCAAAAUCUCAUCGGUUCUUUAUUUGAAACGUUAGAUUGGUUCAUGACAUUUACUUUUUGAAGAUAAUUUCAUUUAAAUGUUGACCGCGGCUGCGUCUUAGGUGGUCCAUUCGGAAAGUCCAAUUUUGGGCAACUUUUUCGAGCAUUUCGGCCGGAAUAGCCCGAAUUUCUUCGGAAAUGUUGUCUUCCAAAGCUGGAAUAGUUGCUGGCUUAUUUCUGUAGACUUUAGACUUGACGUAGCCCCACAAAAAAUAGUCUAAAGGCGUUAAAUCGCAUGAUCUUGGUGGCCAACUUACGGGUCCAUUUCUUGAGAUGAAUUGUUGUCCGAAGUUUUCCCUCAAAAUGGCCAUAGAAUCGCGAGCUGUGUGGCAUGUAGCGCCAUCUUGUUGAAACCACAUGUCAACCAAGUUCAGUUCUUCCAUUUUUGGCAACAAAAAGUUUGUUAGCAUCGAACGAUAGCGAUCGCCAUUCACCGUAACGUUGCGUCCAACAGCAUCUUUGAAAAAAUACGGUCCAAUGAUUCCACCAGCGUACAAACCACACCAAACAGUGCAUUUUUCGGGAUGCAUGGGCAGUUCUUGAACGGCUUCUGGUUGCUCUUCACCCCAAAUGCGGCAAUUUUGCUUAUUUACGUAGCCAUUCAACCAGAAAUGAGCCUCAUCGCUGAACAAAAUUUGUCGAUAAAAAAGAAAAGAACCGAACACUGAUUUUGGUAAUAAAAUUCAAUGAUUUGCAAGCGUUGCUCGUUAGUAAGUCAUUCAUGAUGAAAUGUCAAAGCAUACUGAGCAUCUUUCUCUUUGACACCAUGUCUGAAAUCCCACGUGAUCUGUCAAAUACUAAUGCAUGAAAAUCCUAACCUCAAAAAAAUCACCCAUUAUAUGUAUUUACUAAACAAAACUAAUUACAUAUGCAUUUAGCGUUUAAGCAACAACAACAAAUGCUAGUAAAGCAAAAGUAAAAGCGAAAAAAUUAAAAAUAAAAUACCAAAAAUUUAUAGGAACGUGCAGAAAUUACAAAAACAAAAACACAGUUGUAUUUGUGUUGAACUCGUUAGUUUGCGAAUUUGUAUAGAUUUAGAUAUUUUGUAUGUGUGUUGUAAUUUAUUUUUUUUUUUUUUUUGUGAAAAUUCGCAAAGAAAAAUUGCAAUUAUAGAAAGUUGUUAAUGGCAAGUUUGAAUUCUAAUUAUAUUUAAAUACAUAAAUUGCAUUUUACAUACAUAAAUUAUUUUUUAUAGACAUAUGUACAUACAUAUAUAUACAAACUCUCAAAUUAACCAGUAAAAUAUAAAUACUGCACACAAUCGCAUUAAUUGUACUGAUAAUAUAUAAUAUAAUAAUUACAAAAUAAUAAAAUAUCAUUUUUUAUAUAUAAAUCAAUGUGUGUUCCAGCUAUUCUUACAGUAAAUUAAUAUGUAAACAUUAUUUUGUAAAAAAAAUAAAAUAAAAUAAAAUAAAAACAUUAAAUAUUAACGAACUACAAAAUACGACAAAAUGUUGUAUAUACUAUAAACCGAUGUCUCAGUAUUUUAUUUAGAAACAUGAAUGCACAUAAAUUUU